GGAAAUGGCCCUGGUGGUAGGGUGUGAUUGAACCAGCCCUGAGGGCAAAAGUGUGGGGGAACUGAGCCUACCACUCUUCUCUGUGUGACUGCAUGAUGGUCUUCCCUCCCCCUUUCCUGAAUCACCUUCAGCUUUUGGGAAAGUUUACCAUAGGAUCAUGAGCAUGGGAGAGGAGGACUUGUCCCUUGCUAGUGGCAGCACUAGAGAAAAAGACAAAGGGCCUUGUACUUCAUCUGAGGAGCACAGUAGAGAUGGCCCUGGGUACUAGACACAGCAUUGCUGGAGGGCUUGCCUUGGGGGUGUGCAUAACAAAGAACCAGCCUGCUGACCAGCUCAGUUACCAUCCAAGCCCAGAUCAAGGCCUCUGAAUUGGACUACUCCAAAAUGUGUAUCAUCUGCAAUAAGACAGGACAUAAAUUCUAAUCUACUGUCCCAUUCCCACCUGCCUACUGUUAUAUUCUUUGCCAUGAUGACUGUUGAGUUUCACCAUUGGAACCAUGAGACCACCAGGCAGUCAUCUAAAACCAACAUCACUUUCAAAGUAUAAGUUUGUUUGCAAUACAUCAAAAUAAAUAUGUUUAUCUGAAAUUCUGCAUUUGCUACAUAAAGAAGAGGAAGAAAAUUGCAAGUACAUUACUGUGAAAUAUGAGACACUGGCAUUAUUAACUCUAUGCCAUACUG